rnacentral:ncRNA from 20 species
UUCUUAUCAUGAGAGGCGGAGGGAAAUGGCCCAACGAAACCUCGGCAACAGGUUCUUAUUAGAAUACUGUGCCAAUUCCAUCAAGCAAAUUGCUUGAAAGAUAAGAG